AAAGAUUAAGCCAUGCAUGUCUAAGUAUAAGCAAUCUAUACGGUGAAACUGCGAAUGGCUCAUUAAAUCAGUUAUCGUUUAUUUGAUAGUACCUUACUACUUGGAUAACCGUGGUAAUUCUAGAGCUAAUACAUGCUAAAAACCCCGACUUCGGAAGGGGUGUAUUUAUUAGAUAAAAAACCAAUGCCCUUCGGGGCUCCUUGGUGAUUCAUAAUAACUUAACGAAUCGCAUAGCCUUGUGCUGGCGAUGGUUCAUUCAAAUUUCUGCCCUAUCAACUUUCGACGGCUGGGUCUUGGCCAGCCAUGGUGA
rnacentral:rRNA from 1 species